AGGGUUCGAUCAUGGCUCAGGGUGAACGCUGGCGGCGUGCCUAACACAUGCAAGUCGAACGGAGCUGAUAUGACGGAGAUUCGUCGAAGACAUUGAAAGCUUAGUGGCGGACGGGUGAGUAACGCGUGGGUAACCUGCCUCAUCGAGGGGGAUAACAGAGAGAAAUCACUGCUAAUACCGCAUAAGCCCACGGGACCGCAUGGUCCUGAGGGAAAAGAUUUAUCGCGAUGAGAUGGACCCGCGUCUGAUUAGUUAGUUGGCAGGGUAACGGCCUACCAAGACGACGAUCAGUAGCCGGACUGAGAGGUUGAACGGCCACAUCGGGACUGAGACACGGCCCAA
rnacentral:rRNA from 1 species